CAGCCUGGGAUUCCCAGCUGCUCCAAUUCUCUGAGCAGGACUGAGCACAGACGACUCACCAUGGAGCUGGGGCUGAGCUGGGUGGUCCUGGCUGCUCUUUUACAAGGUGUCCAGGCUGCAGUGCAGCUGGUGGAGUCUGGGGGAGGCUUGGUGCAGCCUGGGGGGUCUCUGAGACUCUCCUGUGCAGCCUCUGGAUUCACCUUCAGUAGCCACGACAUGAGCUGGGUCCGCCAGGCUCCAGGGAAGGGGCUGGAGAGGGUGUCCAGUAUUUAUACUGGUGGUGGUAGCACAUACUAUGCAGACUCCGUGAAGGGCCGAUUCACCAUCUCUAGAGACAACGCCAAGAACGUGCUGUAUCUAAAAUGAGCAGCCUGAAACCUGAGGACACGGCCGUGUAUU